rnacentral:ncRNA from 2 species
CUCUUAUCCAGAGAGGUGGAGGGACCGGCCCGAUGAAACCCGGCAACCAGCGAGAUGUUUAUCUAGCAAGGUGCCAAUUCCUACAAAGCUUUUGCUUUGAAAGAUGAGAG